CAGAUUUCUCACAGAGGGGCCGUUUGGACUAAGGAAAUGAAGAAUGCCAUCAGGAAAAUGUGGAAGAGAAUAAUAGUUGUUUCUGAUGAAUUUUAAAAUAUUCUACUUCAGUGGAUAAGGACACUUGUUAUACCAACAAAAUGAUUUGAGAUUUUCUUUCCAUUACUCUUUUUUUAAAAAUCUUUAUUAACUUGAGUUUUUCUUAUUUACAUUUCGAUUGUUAUUCCCCUUCCGGUUUUCUGUGACAGCAUCCCCCUAACCCCUACCCCUCCCCUUCUAUAUGGGCUUCCCCUCCCCAUCCUCCCCUCAUUACCAACCUCCCCCAUUUGAGAACUACAUUCUUAAUCCAACACAGUUACACAGGGGAUCUAUGCAUCUGUAAGUUUUAACUCAUUGUGGGUUUACCCAAUUUGUGUCAGUCCUGUGGCGCCUAUAAGGCCUUCUUUCAUUGUUGUCUUCUAUCCCCACUGUCUAUUACAGUUCUUCUGACUUUUCUGCACAGCUCCCUCAGCUCUGAGAGGAACACAUUGAUGAAGACAUCCAAUUUAGGACUGAAAGUUCAAAUGUCUUUCACUUGUCUGCCUAUUGCCUGGUUCUGGGUCUCUGCCUUACUUGCUAUCACCUGAAGAAGAAGCUUUUCUGAAAAUACCUAAGUGAAAUAUGUAUGCAUAGAUAUAGCAGAAUUUUAUUUCUAAAAUCUUUUUGUUGUUGUUGUUGUUUGUUUGGGUUUUUUUUUUUGUUUUUUUCCCGUCAUUAUUAACUUGAGUAUUUCUUAUUUACAUUUCGAUUGUUAUUCCCCUUCCCGGUUUCCUGGCCCACAUCCCCCUAACCCCUCCCCCUUCCCCUCUAUAUAGGUCUUUCCCUCCCCAUCCUCCUCCCAUUACCACUCUCCCCCCAACAAUCACGUUCACUGGGGGUUCAGUCUUGGCAGAACCAAGGCCUUCCCCUUCAACUGAUGCUCUUACUAGGCUAUUCAUUGCCACCUAUGCAGAUGGAGACCAGGGUCAGUCCAUACAUAGUCUUUGGGUAGUGGCUUAGUACCUGGAAGCUCUGGUAGGUUGGCAUGGUUGUUUAUAUGGGGUCUUGAGCACCUUCAAGCUCU
ensembl:lncRNA